rnacentral:rRNA from 1 species
UACCCUUGACAUGCCAGGAACUUGCAAGAGAUUGCUUGGUGCCCGAAAGGGAGCCUGGACACAGGUGCUGCAUGGCUGUCGUCAGCUCGUGUCGUGAGAUGUUGGGUUAAGUCCCGCAACGAGCGCAACCCUUGUCAUUAGUUGCUACAUUUAGUUGAGCACUCUAAUGAGACUGCCGGUGACAAACCGGAGGAAGGUGGGGAUGACGUCAAGUCCUCAUGGCCCUUAUGGGUAGGGCUUCACACGUCAUACAAUGGCGCGUACAGAGGGUUGCCAACCCGCGAGGGGGAGCCAAUCCCAGAAAGCGCGUCGUAGUCCGGAUUGUUCUCUGCAACACGAGAACAUGAAGU